UACGUAGGUGGCAAGCGUUGUUCGGAUUCACUGGGCGUAAAGGGUGCGCAGGUGGCCGGGUAAGUUUGAUGUGAAAUCUCCGGGCUCAACCCGGAAAAUGCAUUGGAUACUAUUCGGCUCGAGGUUUGGAGGGGGGACUGGAAUUCUCGGUGUAGCAGUGAAAUGCGUAGAUAUCGAGAGGAACACCAGUGGCGAAGGCGAGUCCCUGGACAACACCUGACACUGAAGCACGAAAGCUAGGGGAGCAAACAGG
rnacentral:misc_RNA from 1 species